GACGAACGCUGGCGGCGUGCUUAACACAUGCAAGUCGAACGAUGAAGCUGGAGCUUGCUCCGGUGGAUUAGUGGCGAACGGGUGAGUAACACGUGAGUAAUCUGCCCUUGACUCUGGGAUAACUGCGGGAAACUGUAGCUAAUACCGGAUACGACACCUUCGGGCAUCCGAUGGGUGUGGAAAGAAUUUCGGUCAAGGAUGAACUCGCGGCCUAUCAGCUAGUUGGUGAGGUAAUGGCCCACCAAGGCGACGACGGGUAGCCGGCCUGAGAGGGUGACCGGCCACACUGGGACUGAGACACGGCCCAGACUCCUACGGGAGGCAGCAGUGGGGAAUAUUGCACAAUGGGCGAAAGCCUGAUGCAGCAACGCCGCGUGAGGGAUGAAGGCCUUCGGGUUGUAAACCUCUUUUAGUUGGGAAGAAGCGAAAGUGACGGUACCAACAGAAAAAGCACCGGCUAACUACGUGCCAGCCGCCGCGGUAA
rnacentral:rRNA from 1 species